CCGACAGUAGUUCCAUGGCACUAAACACACAUGCCAGGGCGGACCUGACCAUGUGGCAAACUUUCCUGUCCCACUGGAACAGGAAACCAGUGUUCAUUCCCCCAAAAAUCGGACGUUUCACCUGUACUCUGGACGAUUGCCGCAGCCUACUCUGGUUUUGUUGCCAUUUACGAAAAAACCUGGUUCCUGGACACCUGGCCUGUGGAAAUCCAG